CCAUGAUUCCAGGAAGCUUCCUUCCUUUGAAAAACUCCCAUACAACUGAGCCACUCUCAAUUAUGCUAUAAGCCGAAAGAGAACUUGAUUCCAUCAUUAUGGUUUUGUAUGCCAUCUUCCCUACAACAGUCACAUCGCAAUUUUGUUGACUUAGUUCAUCAAGCAUUCUAGCCAAUUUAGAUGCUUCAUUUAUACAUGGACUUGAUAACUUGAAUUUC
rnacentral:misc_RNA from 1 species